AGGAGGUUGAGAUAAGCCAUGCACCAGCAGCAUCUUGGCAGCUGCUGCAGGAAUGUCAGCCACAGGACCAGGAGGCUGAAAUUCCGGGUCCUGCUUACUCAUCUUGAAGCCAUGCAUCCUGCAAGAAGUUCUGCCUGCGUGUUACUCAUGAAAAAUGGUAUGAGAGCACCAACAAGCAGGCAUGGCCAGCUGGAGUGGGCUGCGAAGUGAUGCACCACCAAAAUCCAUGGAAUGCUUAUGUUUGACUUCUGGAUCACAUGGAAAAUCAUGAAUGUUUAUGGUCUGUCAAAGCAGGUCUUUCAUUCCCCAUAAUCUCACAGAAUUGUAGAGUGAUUGAGGUGGGAAGGGACCUCUGGGUCCGUCUGCUCCAACCCCCUGUACCUGCAGGGAAGUGCUUCCUAAUAUCCAGAGGGAAUCUCCUGUGCUCCAGGUUGUGUCUGUUGCCUCUUGUCCUGUCAGAGCAGCGCUGGAAGCAGUCUGCAUCCGCUGUCCUCGUGCCUCCAUUAAGCGUGUUCCUCCAGAGGACAGAAGAGACAACAACGCAGCAGAACGACAGACUGAUCCUUGUAUCUGCUCUGUGAAUAAUGGACUCUGCUCUCCGAGACUCCAGCACUUGCUUCUCUUGAAUCCUGCUCACCAGAUCCAGAUCAUUUGGAAUUAAAACAUAAAUACUUUAUCCUGUGCUUAUUCGUAUUAUGGUAGUGCCAGGGACUGGCUGCCUGUCAGCCUAGUGCUAUAUAACUGGGAGGAAAAAAAAAAAAGGUUCUGCAGUAUGUUGUUUGCACAACACUGAUUUCUGAUAAUCUGUCCUGGAAACUUCUGCACAGCCCAGCUGGAGAUGCUCAGGCAGCUCCUGGAAGGACACAUGGUGCUUGACGGGGUGUUUAAUAGAUGAACCACAUCUCUCUUUUGGCCCAAAGCUUAAUUCCAGCCACUUAUGGGUUUCACUAGUUUAGUGGACAACUACAACUGCUUUUAUUUUCCUCAGUGUUGGUUUGCUGGAGAAAACACCGAGCUAAGCUUGGUGUUUUGGCUAAACACCAAGCUAUGGACCUUCACUGCUGGGCAGCUCUAGACUUUCUCAUUGAUAUUUGUGUCUUCUGUCAGGAGCAGUAACUGAGUUCUGCUCCUUUUCCCUCCUCACCAAAGGAUCUGUAAACUCAAACUUUCUUUACACAAGUGCUUAGGCUGGUAAGAUUGCAGAAAGAGAAAGGCAGCCAGCGGGUAAGAUGUGCUGCUUGCCUUGAAUGUUCAGUGUGACUUCACCUGCUCUUUACUGCAAGAAAUCUCUGGUGUUACUCGAGUUGCAAUUCAUGAAGUUAGUGGUAAGGAGGAGAAAAUGAAAUAAAGUCUGUAGGGCUUUUAAUUGCUGAUAAAAG
rnacentral:lncRNA from 1 species